rfam:Hordeum vulgare subsp. vulgare, WGS project CAJW01000000 data, contig: morex_contig_58034
AAGCUACUCCCUCCGUCCGGAAAUACUUGUCAUAGGAAUGAAUGUAUCUAGAUGUAUNNNNNUUCUAGAUACAUCCAUUUUUAUCAAUUUGUGCGACAAGUAAUUCCGGACGGAGGGAGUAUUUG